GGCGCAUUCGUCUAGGGGCCUAGGACGCCGCCCUCUCACGGCGGUAACACGGGUUCGAAUCCCGUAUGCGCUACCA
rnacentral:tRNA from 2 species